rnacentral:tmRNA from 1 species
GGGGGCGAAUUGGGUUCGACGGGGAUAGUUGAGUCCAAAGUUGCAGGCCGAGCGACCCAGUGACUCGUUAAUCCAAGGGAAAACAAAAGAAAAGCAGACUCUUUCGAGUACGCUCUGGCCGCUUAAGGCCAGCGUCUCUUAUGGCACAUGGCCCGUGGACCAUACGAGGCGUAGACAAAUGGGCUGGCUUAUCGGGGUAGCGAACUGACUCGCUAAGCAAGAAAAAUAGUUUGAUAGUUUCAAGGAAGCCCGUUUGCCGGCGUCUGAGAAGCAAAAUUUAAACGGCAAAAUAUACCUGUAGACGCUUUGGGGGAAGAUCUUCGGACGCGGGUUCAAUCCCCGCCGCCUCCACCA